GGACCCCAUCUCCCCUCCCAGCGCCGCCUCCAGAGCCCUCAUGCCUCUGUGAGAGCAGCGACAGUGGAUCAAUCUCUGGCUGGCGGCCCUGAGAUGAGAAAUGUUCCCUCAGAAGAGACGGUGUCAUUUGAAGAUGUGGCUGUGAACUUCACGUGGCAGGAGUGGUGAUACCUGAGUGAAGCUCAGAGGACCCCGUACUGGGAUGUGAUGCCGGAGACCUGCAAUCACCUGGUGUCCCUAGGGCACUGUGUUACCGAUCCUGAGGAGAGCAUCAGGUCGGAGCAGGGAUUACAGCCGUGGUCUGUGGAUGAUCCCCCAAACCAGGACUUCUCAGGCCAGUGAUAUUGGCCACACUGAGGUGCUUUUCCAGUGUCCAACCUUGGAA